AUGAAAAUUGGUCCUGGUGGCUAUGGGGAUGUUUACAUGGGAGAGCUUAAUGGGGACGAAAUUGCUGUCAAGAAGCUUUUUCCCGUCCAAGGAGUUAAUGACGAGUCAUUUGAUAAUGAAUUCCGUAACCUUAAGAAGGUUCGGCAUAAAAAUGUCAUACGGAUGAUUGGUUACUGCUAUGAGAUAUUACACAGAGAUGUUGAAUAUGAAGGUGAGUUAGUUUGGUCUCAAGUAAUAAACAGAGCUCUCUGCUUUGAUGAUAUGAAGGGAGGAAGCCUUGCCAAGCAUAUUUCUGCUGAUUCGUGCAUCCAUAAUUGGCCGGCGACAUACAAUAUAAUUAAGGGGACUUGUGAGGGCCUGCACCACCUUCAUAAAGGAGAAGAAAAGAAGAGAUUUUUCAUCUAG
rnacentral:rRNA from 1 species